rnacentral:lncRNA from 1 species
AUGUUUGUUUUUCAAAAAACACAGUUUCAUGUGUUUACAGGUUUUGUUAUCAAGAAAAAUAUGGCCAUGAUGCCACCAAUGUUGGUGAUGAAGGUUUAGGCAAAAGUGAGGUUUCUUGUUUGUUGGCUGGUAUGGUUAUGUGAUUGACUUUACUUUCACUUCCCAGUCGUUGAGUAUGCAGCCGUGGAAGAUUUAUUCUCUUGGUUUGAAGAUGAAAUAUUCCAUAUCUUGGCUUGCCA